AGCAGCCGCGGUAAUUCCAGCUCCAAUAGCGUAUAUUAAAGUUGCUGCAGUUAAAAAGCUCGUAGUUGAAUUUCGGGACUAAUAUGUCGGUCGUGCCUCGGUACGUACUGGCUUAUUGGUUUCUCCUUUCUGAAGAACCAUGAUGUCAUUUAUUUGGUGUCGUGGGGAAUCAGGACUGUUACUUUGAAAAAAUUAGAGUGUUUAAAGCAGGCUCACGCUUGAAUACAUUAGCAUGGAAUAAUGAAAUAGGACGUUUGAUUCUAUUUUGUUGGUUUCUAGGAUCGACGUAAUGAUUAAUAGGGAUAGUUGGGGGCAUUAGUAUUCAAUUGUCAGAGGUGAAAUUCUUGGAUUUAUUGAAGACUAACUACUGCGAAAGCAUUUGCCAAGGAUGUUUUCAUUAAUCAAGAACGAAAGUUAGGGGAUCGAAGACGAUCAGAUACCGUCGUAGUCUUAACCAUAAACUAUGCCGACUAGGGAUCGGAUGA
rnacentral:misc_RNA from 1 species